rfam:Myotis davidii contig140439, whole genome shotgun sequence.
AGCUUUGCGCAGUGGCAGUAUCGUAGCCAAUGAGGUUUAUCCGAGGCGUGAUUAUUGCUAAUUGGAAAAAAAAAUCCUUUUUUUCUUAAAUGGAAUUUGCAGAAUUUUUUUAAGGGAUAAAGAAAAGCAACUCUUUGC